GAACCGUACGAACGUUAUUCGGAAUUACUGGGCUUAAAGGGUGCGUAGGCUGCACGGAAAGUUGGGUGUGAAAGCCCUCAGCUCAACUGAGGAAUUGCAUCCAAAACUGCCGUGCUUGAGGGAGACAGAGGUGAGCGGAACUCAAGGUGGAGCGGUGAAAUGCGUUGAUAUCUUGAGGAACACCGGUGGCGAAAGCGGCUCACUGGGUCUCUUCUGACGCUGAGGCACGAAAGCUAAGGUAGCAAACGGGAUUAGAUACCCCGGAAGUCUUAGCUGUAAACGAUGAGCACUUGAUUGGAGGGUCCUCCAUAGCCUUCCAGUCGUAGCGAAAGUGUUAAGUGCUCCGCCUGGGAGUAUGGUCGCAAGGCUG
rnacentral:rRNA from 1 species